CGGCACGGGUGAGUAACACGUAUCCAACCUGCCGUCUACUCUUGGACAGCCUUCUGAAAGGAAGAUUAAUACAAGAUGGCAUCAUGAGUCCGCAUGUCACAUGAUUAAAGGUAUUCCGGUAGACGAUGGGGAUGCGUUCCAUUAGAUAGUAGGCGGGGUAACGGCCCACCUAGUCUUCGAUGGAUAGGGGUUCUGAGAGGAAGGUCCCCCACAUUGGAACUGAGACACGGUCCAA
rnacentral:rRNA from 1 species